GUAGGGUGCGAGCGUUAAUCGGAAUUACUGGGCGUAAAGCGUGCGCAGGCGGUCUGUUAAGACAGAUGUGAAAUCCCCGGGCUCAACCUGGGAACUGCAUUUGUGACUGGCAGGCUAGAGUAUGGCAGAGGGGGGUAGAAUUCCACGUGUAGCAGUGAAAUGCGUAGAGAUGUGGAGGAAUACCGAUGGCGAAGGCAGCCCCCUGGGCCAAUACUGACGCUCAUGCACGAAAGCGUGGGGAGCAAACAGGAUUAGAUACCCUGGUAGUCCACGCCCCUAAACGAUGUCAACUAGUUGUUGGGGAUUCAUUUCCUUAGUAACGUAGCUAACGCGUGAAGUUGACCGCCUGGGAGUACGGUCGCAAGAUUA
rnacentral:rRNA from 1 species